rnacentral:rRNA from 1 species
UACGUAGGGGGCUAGCGUUGUCCGGAAUCAUUGGGCGUAAAGAGCGCGUAGGCGGCUAGAUAAGUCCGGUGUGAAAGUCACAGGCUCAACCUGUGAAUGCCGCUGGAAACUGUCUGGCUAGAGUCCGGAAGGGGCGAGUGGAAUUCCUGGUGUAGCGGUGAAAUGCGUAGAUAUCUGGAGGAACACCGGUGGCGAAGGCGGCAUCCUGGACCAAUACUGACGCUGAGGAGCGAAAGCGUGGGGAGCGAACAGG